rnacentral:rRNA from 1 species
CGGUAAUUCCAGCUCCACUUGCGUAUACUAAAGUUGCUGCAGUUAAAAAGCUCGUAGUCGGACUUCGGGGUGCUCUGGCUGAUCCGCUGAUGUUUCAGUGUGUGUCGGUUGGUAGUGUCCUAUUGCGUGUGGACGUGGGUCGCUUCGGUGGCCUUGCGUUAUCCGCGCCUUUUACCUUGAGGAAAUUGGAGGGUUUCAACCACGCUCUAAUGCUCUUGAACAGUUCAGCAUGGAAUAAUAAUACAAGACUACUGUCUUGCUUUGUUGGUUUCAUAGACAGAAGUAAUGACCAAUAGGGGUAGUCGGGGCCAUGUGUACCAGUUGGGGAGAGGUGAAAUUCUUAGAUCCAACUGUGACAAACUGAUGCGAAAGCGCUUGGCAAGGAUACUCUCAUUGAUCAAGAACGAAAGCCCGGGGAUAGAAGGCGAUUAGACACCACCGUAUUCCGGGCCAUAAACUAUUCCAUCUAGGGAUUGGGCGAUGUACCCAACUCGUCUCUCUCAGCACCUUUCGAGAAAUCAAAGAUUUCAGGGUCUGGGGGGAAUAUGGUCGCAAGACUGAAACUUAAAGGAAUUGACGGAAGGGCACACCAGAAAUGGAGCCUGCGGUUUAAUUUGAUUCAACACGGGAAACCUCACCAGGUCCAGACAUACUAAGGAUAGACAGAUUGAAAGCUCUUUCUUGAUUGUAUGAUUUGGUGGUGCAUGGCCGUUCUUAGUUCGUGGAGUGAUCUGUCUGCUUGAUUGCGAUAACGAACGAGACCUCCACCGUUAAAUAGUGUCGCUUAUCCAUGUGAUAGGUGUUCACUUCUGAGCGGGACAACCUGCCCAAGCAGGAGGAAGUGGGAGGCAAUAUCAGGUAUGUGAUGCCAUUAGAUGUUCCGGGCCACACGCGCAAUGCAAGGAGCGAGGCAACAAGUUUGUCCUGGGCAGUACAGUCCGGGUAAUAUUAUAAAUUCAAUCGUAGAUGGGAUAGGACAAUUGCAAGUGUGGUCCGUGAACUUGGAUCUUAUGGUAAGUUCAUCUCAUCAAGAUGUGUUGAUUACGUCCCUGCCCACAGUACACACCAAGCAAGGGUGAAUCCA